rnacentral:rRNA from 1 species
UACGGAGGGUGCAAGCAUUGAUCGGAAUUACUGGGCGUAAAGGGCGCGUAGGCGGACAGGGAAGUCAGAUGUGAAAUUCCGGGGCUCAACUCCGGAGCUGCAUUUGAAACUCCUUGUCUAGAGGAUGAUUAGGGAAAACGGAAUUCCACGUGUAGCGGUGAAAUGCGUAGAUAUGUGGAAGAACACCGGUGGUGAAGACGGUUUUCUGGGUCAAACCUGACGCUGAGGCGCGAAAGCUAGGGGAGCAAACAGG